AACGACUACAGUGGGUUAUGUCUACAAGUAGAGUUUGUUCUACUCGAUUCACUAUGCGGUAGUAAGAUUCGUGCCUAAUCGCAGAAUUUUCGUAUCACUAGUUUCCCUCUAAUACUAUCGGAGAUAAGGAAAGAUACCAACUGAUCAGUAUUGAGCUAACAUUUUUAAACGUAAGCACAAUCAAUACGUCCACUCAGUAUUGAUAAACAGUUUGUGGUGACUACAGUGUUUGUGUUUAAUAUACAUAUAUAAAGUACAUCAAGAUGUGUUGCGUGUGUAACCUGCUCUGCAAGAUCAUCAGCUUGAUUGUUUCAAUCCUGACUACCGUCCUCCUUAUACUACUCAUUCUAUGGUUGGUUGGCGUAAUCUUCCAGGGUGACUCUAACGGCUCCGCUACAUCCACAAAUGAACUCGUCAAAAGCGCUGGGGAAUACAAAUAUUCAGCAAUCGGAGCAUCGUUCACAUAGUGUUUAAUUUAAAUAAUAUAUUUUCUUAUUAACCGUCAUCUUCUCUCUCUGUAGCUUAGAGAGUCAGUAGAAACUUUUUAAGGCAUAAAAGUUCACCAACUGACUCUUCUUACUGAUUUAAACUACUGUGACUAUGGAUGUAUUUUUAUAACGCAGCGAGUCUGAGUUAUAGUUACUUACAUGUAAUUAUGUGCACAGUUGCUUCUAUAUUCUUACCCUCUAAGUAUAUACCUAUUAACAGAUAGCCUGGGAAAAUAUAUAAGAUGAACUAAAGAGGGAAAGACUUACGCAGUCCCAAUAAUCAUCGUCUAUCCUUCUAUGUUUAAAUUGGCGGGACAUUGUAUUUCUUUAAACGCAAUAUGUAUUAUUACUGAUAAAAAUAUACAAAUAAAAUAUGCCUAAUUGCAAAUUAGAGGGGGGCUUUACACAGAAUAUAUAAUAGUUUGGCAUGAUUCGUUGACGUCUUUUGAAUAGACCGGGGGCCAGGAGCAUAUUUCGUCAGUCGUCGCCUCCCGGCUGAUACAUUGUCAGAUAAUAGUUUAGAAUGUUUAGAUGCUGUUUUAAAUAAAAUAAAACCGUUAGCUGGUUGUAUCGCGAGGGAAAAACCAUCUAGGGAAAAGAACAUAUAAAAAAUACGCGCCUUACCACUUUCUGUCCGCAAAGUAUGUGUAAUGUGUAAAUUUUCGUAAUCCGUUUAUGGCGUUUCUAGCGUUCCACCUGAUGAAAUGCUACAUGCAAAGUUUCAUGAUUUUUUAAUACUAUCAUAAAAAGGUAAACAGCUUAUUGUUAACAUGUUCAUACGACCAGCUGACGUUCUUACCACCGCGAUAUAACCGGAUGACGAUUUUUUUAAGUAACAAUAGCAUCUGAACUAUCAUCUGACGAAGUAUCAAAUGGGAGGCGAUGGCUAUUUUUUUUCUUUUUACGUGUUUCGGCGGCUGCGUUUUCUCAAGCCACCAACGAAGCGGCAGCUGACGUCCACAAGGGUUCAUCAUACAUAGCCGUUAACCGUAUACAAGUUUUCGCAAGGGAGGUGAUUGGUCAUGGCAAUCUGUUCAUGGCUCGCAGUCUAGAAUGGCAAUACAGUCGCGCUUGCAGUUGACUCGCACUUAUAUCUACAUGUGUAUUGGCGCGAGCGAGAAGCAAGGGUGAAUGAGCACAAAAUUACAUCAUUUAGAUAUAAUUUUGAUGGUUAAAUGUAAGUUUGAAUUGCCCUCCCUGGUAUUUUUCUUUUCCAUUGUCAACUAACUAAAACGAAUGUUUUACCUUUUUUUAUCUAAGCUAUAAGUUUUUGUAUGAUUUGUUAAAUAAAUAUUUAUUAGUAAAUUACA